rnacentral:rRNA from 1 species
AUGCAGUGCUACACUACACAGCGUAACAGCAAAUUGCGGAUCCGACUAUUCAACAUGCAGCAAUGUUGUAAACCAACCUCGUCAACACAAGAGAAGCAACAAAAAGUUCACGCCAUCUCAUCUGCACACCUUGCAGAGGCAGACGACCAAGAUGACCACGAACGCCAAGCAGGACAGGCCAAUGGCGAGCCCGAGAACCACCGCGCUAGGGCCGCCACGAGCGUCGGCGUCGCCGUCCGCGUCGCCAUCACUGCCGCCGUCGUCGUAGUCCGCCGCGCUCUUCUCCGACUGCGCCGUCGCCGGGGGAGCCGUGACCGGGAACCCGUACUUGUCGCACGGCGCCACCCCCACGGCGACCUCGGCGGAGAGCACCGACCUGUUGUAGCACAGCUUGCCAUUGCCGGCCGCCCUGAACACCCGCAGCCGCGACAAGAACCUGGCGCUGAACGGCACCACGCCGUCGAAGUCGUUGUUCUCCAGGUUGAGCUCCUUGAGGCCCCUCAUCUCGGACAAGAACGGCGGUAUGCUCCCGUUGAGCCGGUUGGAGCCCAGGUUGAGCACCUCCAGCUCGGGCAGCGUGGAGACGGUCUCCGGGAUGCCGCCGGAGAGGGAGUUGUUGGACAGGUCCACGGUGGUGAGCCAAAUGAGGUCACCGAUGUGUGUGGGGAUCUGCCCUUUGAGAACGUUGGAACUGAGGUUCAGGUGGGUGAUGCUGCCAAGGUGGGUGAUGGUGUCGGGAAUGGCGCCGGCGAUGCGGUUGCCGGAGAGGUCGAGGUGCGUCAGGUUGGGGCAGUGCCAGUGGUGCGGGAGGAAGCCGGAUAG